UCUCGAACUACUCAGUGAUGUGCUAAAUCAUCGUACAAAUCGUACAAUUUGGUCCCUGCGUAAAAUACGCUUUGGUCCCUACGCUCUGUAAAUGGAAUUGGUGAAACACUUCGAAUAUUGCACGGUCAUUGCAUAGUAAACAUAUUUAAUAACAGCUACACAACAAACUUGUUUCAUCGAUCACUAAUAAUAAAAUGUUCCAAAUCACGUGUGAGUCGUAUUAUGUACACGGGCUCUCCGUCUGGCUUCAGCCAGGUUUAGCCAACUAUAAGGCCCAUUUGGCGGCUUAAAAGAAGUAAAUAAGGCCUUCCGGUAAACGGGACCUAACCGAAUCAGAGAAAAUUGUGGCAAGUGCUGUGCCGUUUUUUCCGUGAACAAGAUGUAGAAAACUUGAAGCGCUUUUCACUGGCUACAUUUGGUGCACAUUGAGUGCAAUUUUCCUAGGGUUUUGCUUAUGUGAUUAGUUGAAAGCUGGGAAAAUUGUACUCACUGCACACGUAAUGCAGUCAGUGAAAAACGCUAUUAAGCCGCUAUUUUGUACUCAAAUGCCGAGAAGAUAAUUCGAUUGGUUGCAGAGCGUUCGAAUUCGAUGAACCAAUCAAAAUUCCAAAAAUGAUGGAUCGAUUAUCAAAAUAGAGCAUGGACUGUUCAUUCUCUAUACUUUUUAUAGUACGCCUAAUGAAAGCAGAACACACGUGUAGCCAAUCUCAAUUUUUAUCGGACUCCGAUGGUCCUGCAGAAAAUUGAUGUAAAAGGAAAGCGCCCGUAUACACUGUCAGCCUUAGGUAAGGCUACCAGUUUAACAUGGGAUUUGGUAGAUUAAGAGAUACAGCAGUUACAUCCAUUACCGACCGCAGUACACAGCUUCUUAUAAAAAAUAACUGCAGCUUUCAAUGGUAAUUGGUCCAACUUUCCCCUUAAAUUCGACUUGGCCAGAAGCGGUAGUAGUGAAAAAUACAUAAAUUCGGAACUUUUCAGAUUUUCAAUAAAAUAUGAAGUUCGUAAACUGAAUUCUUUAUAGAAACUUUCUGGAAUUUCUUGAAAUACUUCAGGCCUGGAACAUCUUUUUCAUCACGAGGGAGAACGGAUUAGGGCAGUUGGUAAAGGGUGUGAGUUUCCCGGAGAACCCGAAAAAUAUUUUACCUGAGUAAGAUUGAUAUAAGUGGAACCAAAAAUUUGUGUAAAACUAAACGAAACGCUAAUUCUUAUUUUUUGUGAAAUUUCAUAAACAGAUUUAUAUCCCAUUACUCGUUGCAAUUUUAUCGUUCGUAUAUUAUUCUGCUUACAUAUUAUG
rnacentral:lncRNA from 1 species